CAUAGUGGUACUUAUAGUAACAAUAGGCUCCAGUUUGUUUAAUUGAUCCUGUUAACAUUUAAGACUUUUUUCCCCUUUUAAAAUUUCCAUUUUGAAGUCAGAUGAUUCAUGAUAAUAUGUUUUUCCUUUUGCAGUUAACACGUUGACCCGGCAUCUUGGCAGCAGCACUGGGAAGUGGUGGUGGUCAAUCCAGGUCCUCACGCCUCUGAAGGAAGCACCCACCAACGGGUCCCUGGGAUUAAGGGGGAAGCAGAGGUUUUAAUGAAGCAGACUCCAUUCUUCGGAGGGGUGAAGUGAGAUAACUUUUGAUGGGGACAUUUGGAAAUAAAUGUAAACAAAUGCUGAACAACAUGCUGAAUCUGAAGGCAUAAAUCCCCUCCACAGAGCUGCAAAUUGAAGACUCAAAGCUCCUGUUGUGUUGAAAAGAGGGACUCUUGGGCCCGACAAGGGGACCUUGGUGAUCUCUCCUGAGAGUUCUUUUCACAUAGAUAUGCACAGAAUGAAUAGUUUAUCUCCAGCUCCUGCUGACUUUCAUGAAUAAUUUGAUGUAAAAAGCUAAGUUGGACUUCUGCUGUGUCAGAUAACUUGGGAGUACCAGCUUCUAAUAUUCUAGCCACAGACUGAAACAGACUUUCUUGUUUUAGAGGCUAAAGUGGCCUCUCUGACUUCCACUCACCUGCAACCUUUCCCAGAAAUUUCCAGUACCUUCCCUUUCCCUUCUUUAACUAUCUGGCUGCUGGGACUCCCCCCAAAAUGAGAGAGGCUCUAGGGCUUCCAGCUGGCAGAACUUCUCUUGUGAAAAAAAGCUAUUUACUUAGACAAAGAAGAUUUGAUGGGACAUACAACCGUGAUUUUUACUGUUUCUUGUUCACCUCAGCAGAUAUAUGCCAGAAAAUACUGUGGUCACUCCUGAAGGGCACACUGGAUCCCACAUGCUGCUGAGCAGAGCAGUGGAGGGAGUGCCAAAGGUGCUCAUCAGAGAUGGGGAGGAGAAAUCUCACCUUGAAUUCUGAGGCUGGAAUUCAUCAUAAACUCACACUUCAGCCUUCCUCUCCAAAGAGGAUCAGCAUCAGGGUAGGGGCACUGUGAGAUGACUCCUCUUCUGGGACAGGGUAGCAUUUACUAGACAAGGAUAAACUUGGACUCUUAUUACAAGCUGGAAAACUGAAACCCAAAUGUGAAUAUCUGAUACCAGUGCAUUUUGAUUCUGAAGAAAAUAGUUUAAAAGAGUUUACUUGAAUUUAAAUAUUUACCUUAAGCAGUUUAUUUCCUGGCUCACCAAACUUUAGAUGGUUCAAUUAAAUGACUCAACCGUAAGUAAAAGCAGGGCUGCUAUGUAAGAAUUUACGAUUGGUCCUCGCGUGCAUCAGCAUCCCUUUGACUUACAGUAUUUCAUCCCUUCUGUUUGCAAAAUGAAUAGGGUUUUCCCAGGCAGAUAUUCUAUCUGGACUGUGCUGUAUUCUGUCUUCUAAUAAUCAGUCCAAGCUGCACUUCAAACACCACGUUGACUCCAUUUUCUGUAAUUUAUUCAUUAUUUCUUCCAAAAUCCUGGGUUGCCCCAUGUAUUUUGUCAGUGUUGAUGCAUAUUGGUCAGUCAGGCCUAGAGUCAUUCCAGGGUGCUCUUGUGUUACUCUUGUGAAGUCAGCUUGUAUUUAACCUGGGAAUAACAGUCAUAAAAGGCCAAAACACACAAAAAAACCCCCAUACAAUUGCAUCUAGUGCAGUCAAUAUCAUGCUCAGUCACAAACCAGGUUAGAAAGGGACAGGAUGAGUGAAGAUACCGAUAAAUGGAGCAAGCACCUAAUUUUUGGAAGUGGUUUAGAUUUGCUAAAUCAGAAGAAUAUUACCAACAGCGAGCACUGAUUUAUUGCUGGGUUCAUCUCUUUGGGUGCACUAAAGGGAUAACAGAAGAAAUGACACCAGCAGACACCCCUGUUAUAGGUCUCUGCAGAAGAAAGGGAUAUAUUUACUUAUUGGAAACUUUUGUUCUCACACAUGCAUAUAUUCAUAUUAAUGUUGUAGGAUCUGAGUGGGGCCAUGCAUGUGGCAGUUACAAAAUAACACAAGGAGUGUAUUUUGAUGGCAAAGAAAAAUUUUAAAGCAACACCUUGAAUGGAUACUAGCAUAUUACAUAACUUUUUUAAGUUAAUGGAAGAAGCAGCACCUUUCCAUUAAUGCGCUUGCCUAGGACCACAGUUCUUCUAUCAGAGACAAGCAGUUCCUGUUAAUUUUGCAGUGAGAUGGGCAUGCAGCUGCGCUUUUUGGGCUUCCACAGAUUAUGCUUACAAGCUUAAUAACAAUUACGUGACUAGAGUACAUAAAAGAAAUACACUGAGGAACAUAAAGGGUAUGAGGUUGCCAGCAAAGCAAUCGAGUUGUUUAUACUGUAGGGUGAAAUCCUAAUCUCAGGAUUUCAACAGUAUCUCUAAACCAGCUGACCCAUGAACGCUUCCAGUGCCAUCUCAGGACAAGACUUUGGGACAUCCAUCCAUCUUCCGUGGCCUUACAGUUCCCACGUAAAGAUAACGUGCACGAAGUCCAGGUGCUGGUUGUGUUGUAUUCAGGAGGGCCCUGACAUGGAUCAUCAGAGGCCCAAGACCACAGCUCUCAGUGUAGACGUUAACUGUUGGCCCUACCUUGGCUUGCAACGAUUGAAAGCAGAACAUUGUGCACCACUAGCAGAGAGAAGGAAAACAUUACUGUGACCCCAGCUCUAAGUCAGUGAUGUUACAAAGGGGUGAAUCUGGACUUAAAUCUGCCUUGGCUUUUUUAAGGUCAGUGAUUCCCUCUAAAGAAAGAAAACAACACGUGCUUGCGUGCACACAAACACACACAUACAAUAAUUAGAAGAAUUAACACGGGACUUAGUUUGUGUUGCAAAUCAAGAUUUUUGUUAAGUGGAAAUUUGCCAUAUGCUCUCCAACACCCGACACAAAGAAGAGCCAUUUUACUAACUUCAGCCUCAGUUUUGCUGUAGGAUUGGAAUGCCCAUUGCUGUCGAUUGUUCAGUUUAGAGCUUUAAGGUUUAUUUUGGGGACUGCAUAUCAAGGUUACUUGUAAGAAGUUUUUGGAAACUCUCUCUCUCAGGCUGCUGAGCUUUUAUUUUGAGAAAAAAAAAGUAACACAAAUAAUAAAAUGCAGAGGUGCCAGAGUGCUUAGGGUAAAGAAGACUUGGAUAUAUCUUCCUUUUUUUUUUUUUUUCUUUUUAAACAGUCCAAUUAUGUACCACAUAGCAGCAACUGGGCUAACAACAGCCAUAUGAUGGAAUAGCUUGUAAUCCGGUUGUGGGUCUAGCUCCGUGAGCCAGACUCCAAGUAGAUGAGUUUUAAAUCUCCUUAGAAUUAAGAAGGGUUUGGCAACCAAAUUAAUUGUUUUGGAAAAAUCCUGCUUUAUGGAUCAUGAAGAGGAUAAAAAGGGAAAAAACAUGUCAUCUGUAGUGGUUAGUCAGAUGUUCUUUUGGAGUUACAACGAUUUCCUCUCUAAUUCCUCUUCUUGUUGACAUUCCCGUUAAAAGAAUAAUGAGUACUAUGUUCGUUGCCUUAGCGCUACUCAUCCCUGUGUACAUUACGAAAUCUUUGCAUUAAGCUACCCAAAUGGAUUGAAUCAUAGUGUAAGGCAGACAUUAAAAACAACUGCACUCAGCUGUAAGCAUGCAUAAAAGUGAAGUAUAAACCGAUACGCUAUGAUACAAGUGAUAAUAAUCACUGGUACCCUGUACAGUAGUUUGUUUCAAAGAGGUGGUGGGGCCCAGACAACCAAGAGCAUGCAUCUGGAUUAGCAGGGCUGAAUUACUUUAGUCUUUGGAUUUUUAAUAUUUAUGUAGUUACCCUUUUACCAGUGAGGUUGUGAUGCUUUGGAAAAAUAUGUUAGAUGUAUUAUUAAUGCCAUGUUUAAAUAAUGGGAGACAAUUAAACAACCACUGGGUAAUAGUUUCCCAGGUGUAUUUCUAUUUUAUGUAUUUUGUAGUUAUAUAAUGUAUUCUCACAGAGGCUACAUUACUUAAUUACUCAAUGCUUUUAAAGUAUUUUGGUAAAAAUAGGUGUGCAAAAAAAGGUAUUAUUAUUUCACAGGUGGCAUUAAAGCAGCUUCAUUAAGGAGGCUGGUACUAAUAGUCCUUUAAUACAGAAAGCCAGGAGAUGGUUCUUCACAUGGUACAUUAAACAGUGAAAUAUGCCAAUUUUGACUUGAUUUCUAUGCUGCUAAACUACCCCACAUUCAUUUGCUUCAGCUUUAAGCCCUUCCAUUCUAGUAUUCUCUAGCCGCAGUUACAGAAUUGCAGCUUGCUUUUCACCUAUCUUCUAACAGUUUAACAUAGAUGUCUGGGUCCAGUCCAUUGUUCCAAUUGUAUAUAGUUUAAAAAGCUCUGCAGUAUUUUACUCUUUCCAUUAUAUCUUGGCUUCCCUGAGCGCUCUGUUCGCUGCAUUUUGCUUGUACUGGCUCUGUUUUCUAAACCCAUUUAUGGCUUUUUUUUCUGUACACACUUGUUCAUUGGGGAGCUUAAAUUGACUUCUCUCCAUUCUGUUUCCUUAACUAAAAACGCACCAUUAAGGUUGAUUGAAGUCUUUUGAAAACACUUCAUAAAAAAUGAAAGGCCAUAAGAAAUUAGGCUACCAGUGUUUGCAAAUACCUGUUUUCAGCCAAAUUGAUGGGAAGGAAUAAGAACUGAAAUUUAAAAAUGCUACUGAUAUAUAUUUGUUUGGUACUUAUUAUUGGAAGAAUAGAAGAAGCAUGUGUAAAACAU